AGCACAAGUCUCAGAAGCAAACACAAUAGCACCAUUACUCCUCCUUCCCAUAACCAAAGGCCUAAACCCAAAAGGAUCCCUCACCGCAACUAACUUAUCCUCUGUUACAAACACCAUAGAGUAGGCUCCUUCUAACUUUUCGCAUGCAUCAACAAUCCUCAGAAAGAAAGGCCUAGCCUUGGAAAUCGCAAUCAAAUGCAAAACAACCUCAGUAUCAGAACUAGUAUUAAAAAUGGACGAACCAUUAUCCUCAAGGGCAGCCCUCAAUUUCCUAUAAUUGACUAAAUUCCCAUUGUG
rnacentral:misc_RNA from 1 species